rnacentral:misc_RNA from 1 species
UCCGGUUUAACACCGGCAGUCUCUCUAGAGUCCCCGACAUGACUCGCUGGCAACUAGAGACAAGGGUUUCGCUCGUUGCGGGACUUAACCCAACACCUCACGGCACGAGCUGACGACAGCCGUGCAGCACCUGUGCACGCUCCCUCGCGGGUCCCUCAGGUUUCCGUGCGCUUGCAGUGCCAUGUCAAACCCAGGUAAGGUUCUUCGCGUUGCAUCGAAUUAAUCCACAUGCUCCGCCGCUUGUGCGGGCCCCCGUCAAUUCCUUUGAGUUUUAGCCUUGCGGCCGUACUCCCCAGGCGGGGCGCUUAAUGCGUUAGCUACGGCACGGAUCCCGUGGAAGGAAACCCACACCUAGCGCCCACCGUUUACGGCGUGGACUAC